AUGAACGCUGGCGGCGUGCCUAAUACCUGCAAGUCGCGCGCACGGACGAGAAGCUUGCUUCUCUGAUGUUAGCGGCGGACGGGUGAGUAACACGUGGAUAACCUACCUAUAAGACUGGGAUAACUUCGGGAAACCGGAGCUAAUACCGGAUAAUAUUUUGAACCGCAUGGUUCAAAAGUGAAAGACGGUCUUGCUGUCACUUAUAGAUGGAUCCGCGCUGCAUUAGCUAGUUGGUAAGGUAACGGCUUACCAAGGCAACGAUGCAUAGCCGACCUGAGAGGGGGAUCGGCCACACUGGAACUGAGACACGGUCCAGACUCCUACGGGAGGCAGCAGUAGGGAAUCUUCCGCAAUGGGCGAAAGCCUGACGGAGCAACGCCGCGUGAGUGAUGAAGGUCUUCGGAUCGUAAAACUCUGUUAUUAGGGAAGAACAUAUGUGUAAGUAACUGUGCACAUCUUGACGGUACCUAAUCAGAAAGCCACGGCUAACUACGUG
rnacentral:rRNA from 1 species